rnacentral:rRNA from 1 species
UACGUAAGUGGCGAGCGUUAUCCGGAAUCACUGGGCGUAAAGGGCGCGUAGGCGGCCUGGCAAGUCGAUGGUGAAAGCCCGUGGCUCAACUACGGGUCGGCCAUUGAUACUGCUAGGCUCGAGUCGACUAGAGGCAGAUGGAAUUCCGGGUGUAGCGGUGGAAUGCGUAGAGAUCCGGAAGAACACCGGUGGCGAAGGCGGUCUGCUGGGGUCGAACUGACGCUGAGGCGCGACAGCGUGGGGAGCAAACAGG